UUUUUACGGAGAGUUUGAUCCUGGCUCAGGACGAACGCUGGCGGCGUGCUUAACACAUGCAAGUCGAACGAUGAUGCCCAGCUUGCUGGGUGGAUUAGUGGCGAACGGGUGAGUAACACGUGAGUAACCUGCCCCUGACUCUGGGAUAAGCGUUGGAAACGACGUCUAAUACUGGAUAUGAUCACCGGCCGCAUGGUCUGGUGGUGGAAAGAUUUUUUGGUUGGGGAUGGACUCGCGGCCUAUCAGCUUGUUGGUGAGGUAAUGGCUCACCAAGGCGACGACGGGUAGCCGGCCUGAGAGGGUGACCGGCCACACUGGGACUGAGACACGGCCCAGACUCCUACGGGAGGCAGCAGUGGGGAAUAUUGCACAAUGGGCGAAAGCCUGAUGCAGCAACGCCGCGUGAGGGAUGACGGCCUUCGGGUUGUAAACCUCUUUUAGUAGGGAAGAAGCGACUGAGUUUACUCUGAGUGACGGUACCUGCAGAAAAAGCACCGGCUAACUACGUGCCAGCAGCCGCGGUAAUACGUAGGGUGCAAGCGUUGUCCGGAAUUAUUGGGCGUA
rnacentral:rRNA from 1 species